rnacentral:rRNA from 1 species
CGUGUCGUGAGGCGUUCGGUUAAGUCCGAGAACGAGCGAGACCCACGCCCCUAUUUACUAUUCUUCUCUCCGGAGAGGAGGUACCAUAGGGGGACUUCCCGUUAUAAAUGGGAUGAAGGAGUGGACAACGGUAGGUCCGCAUGCCCCGAAUCUUCUGGGCUACACGCGGCUUACAAUGGCUGGAACAAUGGGCUGCAACCCCGAAAGGGGGAGCCAAUCCCGAAAUCCAGUCCAAGUACGGAUUGAGCUUUGAAACUCAGGCUCAUGAAGCUGGAAUCCCUAGUAGUCGCAGUUCACCAAGCUGCGGCGAAUACGUCCCUGCUCCUUGCACACACUGUCCGUCACUCCAACUAAGCGGGGUUCAGAUGAGGAUCGGUCAUUUGAUUGGUUCGAAUUCUAAGUUCGUGAGGGGGGAGAAGUCGUAACAAGGUAACCGUA